GACGAACGCUGGCGGCGUGCUUAACACAUGCAAGUCGAACGAUGAACCCGGAGCUUGCUCCGGUGGAUUAGUGGCGAACGGGUGAGUAACACGUGAGUAACCUGCCCUUGACUCUGGGAUAACUGCGGGAAACUGUAGCUAAUACCGGAUACGACCCUCGGAGGCAUCUCCUGGGGGUGGAAAGAAUUUCGGUCAAGGAUGGACUCGCGGCCUAACAGCUAGUUGGUGAGGUAAAGGCUGACCAAGGCGACGACGGGUAGCCGGCCUGAGAGGGUGACCGGCCACACUGGGACUGAGGCACGGCCCAGACUCCUACGGGAGGCAGCAGUGGGGAAUAUUGCACAAUGGGCGCAAGCCUGAUGCAGCAACGCCGCGUGAGGGAUGACGGCCUUCGGGUUGUAAACCUCUUUUAGCAGGGAAGAAGCGAAAGUGACGGUACCUGCAGAAAAAGCACCGGCUAACUACGUGCCAGCCGCCGCCGUAA
rnacentral:rRNA from 1 species